GCCUUCUUAGCUCAGUUGGUAGAGCGCGUCACUAGUAUCAUGCAUGGUAACACAUGACGAGGUCGGUCGUUCAAAUCGGCCAGGAGGCA